rnacentral:rRNA from 1 species
GUGUUUCAUGACUGGGGUGAAGUCGUAACAAGGUAACCGUAGGGGAACCUGCGGUUGGAUCACCUCCUUACCAAA